rnacentral:lncRNA from 10 species
GAAAUGCAAAGCCUUGCCUGAGCGAAAGGAAUUGCUUAAUCCUGAUAGUCUUAUGAGAAGAUCUGGUGAGAAGCAGAGUCAAGUACACACCAUGAUGGUGGAGAAAGGAAGAGAAGGGGCUUGACAUCUUUUUUUUUUUUUUUUUUUUUUUUUUUUUGAGAGAAAGUUUCACUCUUGUUGCCCAGGCUGGAGUGCAAUGGCACUAUCGGUUCACUGCAACUUCCACCUCCUGGGUUCAAGCGAUUCUCCCACCUCAGCCUCCCAAGGAGCUGGGAUUACAGGUGUCUGCGACCAUACCUAGCUAAUUUUUGUAUUUUUAAUAGAGAUGGCAUUUCACCAUGUUAACCAGCCUGUUCUCAACCUCCUGACUAUUGUUUCUGCUGUUAGCUGUCAGUCCUCUUCAUCACGGCACAAACAAGAUUAUUGUUUUUCUCUGAAACUGAUGUGGAUGGUCUGCCUGCUGCUCCACGUGUAACCUUCAACAUUGUCUUCUCCCAACUCAAAAUUAGUUAUCCAUUUACAAACUGUUGAUUUCUUUUGGGCAUCGUCCCCAUAACCUUUUCAUAAAGCAUCAAUGAUAUCAUAAUUCAUCUACCCAAACUUUACCAUAAGUAUUCUUUUUUUGAGACAUGCUGGAGUGCAGUGGCAAGAUCACAGCUCACUGCAGCCUCGACCUCCCAGGCUCAUGCCAUCCUCAUGCUACAGACUCCACAGUAGCUGGCCCUGCAGUCAGGUGCCACCCUGCCCAGUGAAUUUCUGUAUUUUUUGUAUAGAAGGGGUUUUCACCAUGUUGCCCAGGCUGGUCCUGAAUGCCUGGGCUCACGUGACCCACCUGUCUUGGCCUCUGAAAUUACUGGAAUUACAGACCUGAGACACUGCAACUGUUCUCAUCAUAAAUUUUAUGUUUCUUCUUGUUUCAAUUUUAGCAGAAUUUGUAUUCCUUUGAUACAGUCUCUUUUCAAACUCAUGUCUUAUCCUUCUCAGUGCCUCAAACUAGAGCCUGUUCAGACAUGUUAUAACAGAUUUGUAUCAGUUUAUUUUGGUGCAAAAACUGUGAAAUUCAUGCACAAUUUUUCCAUAAUAUGUAUUUUUCCAUGAGCUUCUUGAAGACCACUUGUACUAGAAAACUGUAUUCAAGAGGAUAUAUAAAAGGAUUGUAGAUAUGCAAGUGCCAUUUACUUCUGGCAUGCAAGGAUGGUUCAACAUAUUCAAGCAAAUCAAUGUGAUAUACCACUUGAACAGAAUGAAAGAUGAAAACCACAUCAUCUCAACAGAUGGAGAAAAAUCAUUUCACAAAAUUCAGCAUCUGAUCAUCAUAGAAAUCUUAAACAAAAUAGAUGGAGAAGGAAAUUUACCUCACCAAUAGAAAGACCAUUGAUGAAAUGACCAAUGUGGAGAUAACCAAGCAGGGAAAAUAGAAUCCUUUUCCCGUAGGAUCUCACAUGAUGCAAGAACGUUCUCACUUUUUCUAUUCAAUAAA